rnacentral:rRNA from 1 species
GACCAUCCUCCAAGGCUAAAUACUCCUGACUGACCGAUAGUGAACCAGUACCGUGAGGGAAAGGCGAAAAGAACCCCGGCGAGGGGAGUGAAAAAGAACCUGAAACCGUGUACGUACAAGCAGUGGGAGCCUCUUAAUGGGGUGACUGCGUACCUUUUGUAUAAUGGGUCAGCGACUUAUAUUCUGUAGCAAGGUUAACCGAAUAGGGGAGCCGAAGGGAAACCGAGUCUUAACUGGGCGUUAAGUUGCAGGGUAUAGACCCGAAACCCGGUGAUCUAGCCAUGGGCAGGUUGAAGGUUGGGUAACACUAACUGGAGGACCGAACCGACUAAUGUUGAAAAAUUAGCGGAUGACUUGUGGCUGGGGGUGAAAGGCCAAUCAAACCGGGAGAUAGCUGGUUCUCCCCGAAAGCUAUUUAGGUAGCGCCUCGUGAAUUCAUCUCCGGGGGUAGAGCACUGUUUCGGCAAGGGGGUCAUCCCGACUUACCAACCCGAUGCAAACUGCGAAUACCGGAGAAUGUUAUCACGGGAGACACACGGCGGGUGCUAACGUCCGUCGUGAAGAGGGAAACAACCCAGACCGCCAGCUAAGGUCCCAAAGUCAUGGUUAAGUGGGAAACGAUGUGGGAAGGCCCAGACAGCCAGGAUGUUGGCUUAGAAGCAGCCAUCAUUUAAAGAAAGCGUAAUAGCUCACUGGUCGAGUCGGCCUGCGCGGAAGAUGUAACGGGGCUAAACCAUGCACCGAAGCUGCGGCAGCGACGCUUAUGCGUUGUUGGGUAGGGGAGCGUUCUGUAAGCCUGUGAAGGUGUGCUGUGAGGCAUGCUGGAGGUAUCAGAAGUGCGAAUGCUGACAUAAGUAACGAUAAAGCGGGUGAAAAGCCCGCUCGCCGGAAGACCAAGGGUUCCUGUCCAACGUUAAUCGGGGCAGGGUGAGUCGACCCCUAAGGCGAGGCCGAAAGGCGUAGUCGAUGGGAAACAGGUUAAUAUUCCUGUACUUGGUGUUACUGCGAAGGGGGGACGGAGAAGGCUAUGUUGGCCGGGCGACGGUUGUCCCGGUUUAAGCGUGUAGGCUGGUUUUCCAGGCAAAUCCGGAAAACCAAGGCUGAGGCGUGAUGA